UUGGGUACCGUCAACGCCGGAAGUAUUAAUUCCGGGUUUUUCUUUCCCAAUAAAAGUGCUUUACAACCCGCAGGCCUUCUUCACACACGCGGCAUUGCUGCAUCAGGCUUGCGCCCAUUGUGCAAUAUUCCCC
rnacentral:rRNA from 1 species